AUUAGAGUUUGAUCCUGGCUCAGGAUGAACGCUAGCGAUAGGCCUAACACAUGCAAGUCGAGGGGUAACAGGGGGGCUUGCUCCCGCUGACGACCGGCGCACGGGUGAGUAACACGUAUGCAACCUGCCUUCAACAAGGGAAUAACCCGUUGAAAAACGGACUAAUACCCUAUAACACAGGGACUCCGCAUGGAGAUAUUUGUUAAAGAUUUAUCGGUUGAAGAUGGGCAUGCGUUCCAUUAGCUAGUUGGCGGGGUAACGGCCCACCAAGGCAACGAUGGAUAGGGGAACUGAGAGGUUUAUCCCCCACACUGGUACUGAGACACGGACCAGACUCCUACGGGAGGCAGCAGUGAGGAAUAUUGGUCAAUGGACGCAAGUCUGAACCAGCCACGUCGCGUGAAGGAAGACGGCCCUACGGGUUGUAAACUUCUUUUAUACGGGAAUAAAGUGCCCCACGUGUGGGGUUUUGCACGUACCGUGUGAAUAAGGAUCGGCUAACUCCGUGCCAGCAGCCGCGGUAAUAAU
rnacentral:rRNA from 1 species